rnacentral:lncRNA from 1 species
GCCGUGUCCAUGAGCCUCCUGUGGGCACAGCCACUGUGGGGGAUGGAGUGGGGUGACCGGGACCCCACCUCCGUUCUUCUCCCUGCACCGUGGCCUGACCUGACGACCCUGGCCUACCACGGUGCCCUUAGCUGAGAGAAGGGCUGGGGCAGGGCUCUCCCCCGGGGGCAGGACCCUGGGGAGCAGAGGCUCUGCCCCCUUUCGUGGGGGAACGGGGGUCUGCUCCCGAGGAGCCUGUCUCCAGGUUUCUGCAGACUCCGCCGGGGGCGCAAGUGGUCAAUCAGACCUACUCCCUCAACGCUCAGCACACGUCAGACACACGUCCUGGCCCUAAGUCCCAGCUGGGUCCCCACCAAGGGUCCCAGAGGCUCCCUGUGACACGUCUUAAGCCUGGGUUGCUGGAACUCGAUCCGGGCCGGAGGAGUCUGGUGCCGGGGGGACAACGGCGGCGGAGUUCUCGGUCUCUCUGUCCGGGUUCUGCUAGUCCUCUGGCCCCCAGCAGCCUGGGUGUCUGGUCCCGGCUUGGCUGGGCUUGCAGCUGGUAACUGGGCGAGGCCGGGGAGUUCGCCCGGGUGUAGACUCUCGCAUCUCUUAGUCUGAGUUCUGCAGUCUACACUGCCUCCUGGGCACCUUGCAGGUGGCCUUUUACCCCCACACACUGAGUAACAUGACCACCGUCACUGACCCGUGUAUCUAUGGCUCUCACAUCAAGGCCCCCAGGAUUAAUGGCAUCAGGAACCUUGCUUGGCCCCAGGUGGACCUGGGCAGGGUGUGGGCCUCCGUCCCCCUACCUGUAACAGGGGACUAGUGGUGGCUGGGGGCACAGGGCUGCUGUGACCUGUGGCCACAUGUCAUCACUGGCCCAAGCUCAGCCUUGGCCCUUCCUCACCCGGGGACAGAGACCGACCAGCAGAAGAGCCCGGGGACCCGUCUGCCUCCAGGUGACAGGUGACCCCUCAGAGCAGGCCAGAGUACGGCCCCAGAGCUGCCACACAGAAGCUCAUGGUGAUGUGGUUGACUGGGACCCUUUGGCUGGCUUAGGGUCACCUGUCCUUUAAGAAGGAAGCACCAGGUGCCCGGGGGGCUGGCUGCUAGGUGACUUGGUGACCGCAUCCUGGCAGCUAGGCCAGGACCUGGGCCAGCUGAUUCAGAAGGGCCUGCUCCGGGGCAAAGCCCCCAGGUCCAUGGGGACUUCAGCCCAGGCCCCUCCAAGCGCUGCCCUCAGCCCUGGCCCAGCCGCUGGCCGGCUCGUGGGCCAUAGGGCUGGGGGCCGCCCUGUCCUGACUCAGGGAGCGUCUUGCUUUCUUCAGGCCCCGGGCUUCUCUUCCCGGCUCCCCCUGCCCUGGACUUCGCCCUGAGCCCCCAUGGCAGGAGCAAUGCCCAGGACAUGGGCAGGCCGCCCGCCUGCUCUGCGCCCCCAGAGCUGGAGGAGCCCACCCGCCUGGCCUGCAAGACUGUCCCUCGAGCGUCUCUGGCCUCCCGUCCCAGCCCUGUAGGGCAGGAGGGCCCCAGACUCUGACCCGCUGUGGCCCUGUGCAGGCCGUGGCCCCGGCAGGGCGGCUCCCUUGCCCUCUGGUCCACCCCCGCCCCUAGGCCUGGGCUCCUGCUCCCGCAGCUGCUAGACGGAGCGUCCAGACUGGGCGGCCCAGCAGUGGACGUUCACCGUCUCAGGUUUGGAGGUCAAGGCGUCGGUCAAGUGAAUCCCUGGGUUGCUCUUGGCUGGUCCCC